CUCCCGCCGGCGACCGGCGCACGGGUGAGUAACACGUAUGAAACCUGCCCGUAGCAGGGGGAUAAGCGGAAGAAAUUCCGUCUAAUACCGCGUAACAACCCAUGGAGGCAUCUCUGUGGGUUUAAAGGAAGCGAUUCCGGCUACGGAUGGUCACGCGUCGCAUUAGCUAGUUGGCGGGGUAACGGCCCACCAAGGCGACGAUGCGUAGGGGUUCUGAGAGGAAGGUCCCCCACACUGGUACUGAGACACGGACCAGACUCCUACGGAAGGCAGCAG
rnacentral:rRNA from 1 species